CCUGCCACCUUAACAUUUAGGCUACCCCUGGGGAUCUUGUCUGAGCUCGGAAGCUAAGCAUUAUUAUUCCUGAUUUGUACUGGAAUAGGAGGCCACCUGGAAAUAUCAGACGUUGUCAACU
rnacentral:rRNA from 1 species